rnacentral:rRNA from 1 species
UACGUAGGUGGCAAGCGUUGUCCGGAUUUACUGGGCGUAAAGAGCGCGCAGGCGGUCGUGCAAGUCGCGUGUGAAAGCCCCCGGCUCAACUGGGGAGGGUCACGCGAUACUGCUCGACUUGAAGGCAGGAGAGGGAAGUGGAAUUCCUGGUGUAGCGGUGAAAUGCGCAGAUAUCAGGAGGAACACCGAUGGCGAAGGCAGGUCUCUGGGCAUUAACUGACGCUGAGGAGCGAAAGCAUGGGGAGCGAACAGG